AUUGAACGCUGGCGGCAGGCCUAACACAUGCAAGUCGAACGAGUGGCGGAAGGGUGAGUACUGUCUGGGAAACUGCACGAUGGAUGGGGAUAACUACUGGAGAAGGUAGCUAAUACCGCAUACCAUCGGCUGUGCCCAGAUGGGAUUAGCUUGUAGGUGAGGUAACGGCUCACCUAGGCGACGAUCCAUAGCUGGUCUGCGAGGAUGACCAGCCACGCGGGAACUGAGACACGGUCCAGACGCCGACGUGAGGCAGCAGUGGGGAAUAUGGCGCAAUGGGCGACAGCCUGAGGGCGCCAUGGCGCGGGUAUUAAGAAGUCGUUCGGUUUGUAAAGUUCGUGCAGCGGGGAGACGGUAGCCGCAGAAGAAGCACCGGCUAACUCCGUGCCAGCAGCCGCGGUAAUAC
rnacentral:rRNA from 1 species